rnacentral:rRNA from 1 species
CAGCCGCCGCGGUAAUACCGGCGGCCCGAGUGGCGGUCACUAUUAUUGGGCUUAAAGCGUCCGUAGCCGGGUUGGGAAGUCCUCCGGGAAAUCUGGCCGCUUAACGGUCAGAAUGCCGGAGGAUACUCCCAGCCUAGGGAGCGGGAGAGGCCGAGGGUAUUCCCGGAGUAGGGGUGAAAUCCUAUAAUCCCGGGAGGACCACCUGUGGCGAAGGCGCUCGGCUGGAACGGGUCCGACGGUGAGGGACGAAGGCCAGGGGAGCAAACCGGAUUAGAUACCCGGGUAGUCCUGGCUGUAAACGAUGCGGACUUUGUGUCGGACAAGCUAUGAGCUUGUCCGGUGCCGGAGGGAAACCGUUAAGUCCGCCGCCUGGGGAGUACGGCCGCAAGGCUGAAACUUAAAGGAAUUGGCGGG